rnacentral:tRNA from 5 species
GGGCUCGUAGUAUAGUGGUAACACACCGCAUUCGCAUUGCGGAGACGGCAGUCCGAUUCUGCCCGAGUCCA